ensembl:lncRNA
GGGAACAUUGGUGUCGGAGAUCCUUUUCCUUGGGUGUCGGAGAUCUCUUUUCCUUGUGUGUCGGAGAUCUCUUUUCCUUGGGUGUCGGAGAUCUCUUUUCUUUGGGUGUCGGAGAUCUCUUUUCCUUGUGUGUCGGAGAUCUCUUUUCUUGGGUGCGGAGAUCUCUUUUCCUUGGGGGAGACUCUUUUCCUGGGUGUCGGAGAUCUCUUUUCCUUGUGUGGCGGAGAUCUCUUUUCCUUGGGUGUCGGAGAUCUCUUUUCCUGGGGUGUCGGAGAUCUUUUCCUUGGGUGUCGGAGAUCUCUUUUCCUUGGGUGUCGGAGAUCUCUUUUCUUUGGGUUGUCGGAUCUCUUUUUGGGGUCGGAGAUCUCUUUUCCUUGGGUGUCGGAGAUCUCUUUUCCUUGGUGUCGAGAUCUCUUUCCUUGUCUUUGGGAGGUGUUUGGAACAAUUUUUAUUUUUAUUCAAGAGACAUCAAAUACCAAUAUAUGCCUUUUUGCUUGUGUUUUUAUUUACAGUGUUUGUCGAAUCACAAUAAAAUGCUUGAAUGAUUGUUUGAGAUGCCUCAUCUUGGUGAUUCCACGGGCAGACAAGGACGACAGCUCAUAGACUUCACAUCCAAGACGGCCCCCUAUUCCCUAUAUAGUGGCACUACUUUAGACCAGGACCCUAUAGAACCUAUUCCUUAUAUAGUGCACUACUUUAGACCAGGACCCUAUAGAACCCUAUUCCCACAUAGUGCACUACUUAGACCAGGACCUAUAGAACCCUAUUCCCUACUAGUGCACUACUUUAGACCAGGACCCUAUAGAACCCUAUCCCUAAUAGUGCACUACUUUAGACCAGACCUAUAGAACCCUAUUCCCUAUAUAGUGCACUACUUUAGACCAGAGCCCUAUAGAACCCUAUUCCCUAUAAUAGUGCACUACUUUAGACCAGGACCUAUAGAACCCUAUUCCCUAUAUAUGCACUACUUUAACCAGGACCCUAUAGAACCCUAUUCCCAUAUAGUGCACUACUUUAGACCAGAGCCCUAUAGAACCCUAUCCCUAUAUAGUGCACUACUUUAGACCAGGACCCUAUAGAACCCUAUCCCUAUAUAUGCACACUUUAGACCAGGACCCUAAGAACCCUAUUCCAUAUAGUGCACUACUUUACCAGAGCCCUAUAGAACCUAUUCCCUAUAUAGUGCACUACUUAGACCAGGACCCUAAGAACCUAUUCCCUAUAUAGUACACUACUUUAGACCAGGACCUAUAGAACCCAUCCCUACAUAGUGCACACUUCGAUCUCAGACAUGUCUUUGGAUCCCGAAUCAAAGCCCUAACUUCAGGAUGGGAUACCAGGCCAAAAACAAGUAUUGUCAUAAAAAAGGGUCCAAAAGCAUUGCACUAUGAAAGGGAAUAGUUUGCCAUUUGGGACACAUGGUUGUUUGGUCAGUGUGUAUACAGUAGAGCUGACUCUGAGCCGGACCCAUCCAGCAGCUUGGCAGACAGACAGCGAUCACCACAGCAAUAUGGCCAUUCUUCUCCUCUCCCUCCUCCGCCGUCCAGUGACUCUCUCCUUUCUUGCCCACAACCUGGUAAAAAAAAACACAAACCGUGUGGAGAAAAAAAGAAGAAAAAUGCAAACAUAAACUAUACGUUUCCAUCUAAUUGUUCUAGAGAUUUUCAUAUAAUAUAUUAUUUAAAUUCCCACCAGUGUGUUUCCAACAAACGACUUGUUGCAGAAUAAAAGCCGGUGUGGAUGAGGAGAGUGCGACAAAAUGAGUUUCCCCAAGUCGUAGUGGGAGGACACACGCCAUAUCAUUGACAUCGACAAAAUGAACUUUCGCUGAAGUUCACACGUACCGAAUAACAAUGAAUAAGCAAAUAAAACUGUAACGUUAAAUAGCAAUGCCGCCACUGGUCUUGACACGGGCCUACUCUGGUCUUGACACGGGCCUACCUGGUCUUGACACGGGCCACUCUGGUCUUGACACGGGCCUACCUGGUCUGACGGCCCUACUCUGGCUGUGACACGGGCCUACUCUGGUCUUGACACGGGCCUACUCUGGUAUUGACACGGGCCUACUCUGGUUUUGUCACAGGCCUACUCUGUCUUGACGGCCGACUCGGUCUUGACACGGGCCUACUCUGGUAUUGACACGGGCUA